rnacentral:tRNA from 5 species
GCCCGGAUGGCCAAGUGGUAAGGCGUCGCACUCGUAAUGCGAAGAUCGGGUGUUCGACUCACCCUUCGGGCA